AUGGCGGGGGCACCUUUGGUGUUGGUGAUGCUCGUGGUGGCGGUUGGUGUCGCGGCGGCGGAGCGUGGCGGAAAGCUGCAGCAGGGGUUCUACGAGCAGAGCUGCCCGCGGGCAGAGCAGAUCGUGAAGGACUACGUAGAGCAGCAAAUACCCCGGGAGCCAUCCGUCGCCGCCACCCUCAUCCGCACCCACUUCCACGACUGCUUCGUCAGGGUACGUUACGUACGCUCUUUCGUCAGGUGCACCGUCCACGGCGACGGCGACGGCAAUGCCGGCGCGUGUUUGUUCUGGGUCCUGAUGAUCGGAAUGGCGCUGGUGCAGGGGUGUGACGCGUCGGUGCUGCUGAACGCGACGACCGGCGGCGGGGAGGCGGAGAAGGACGCGGCCCCCAACCUGACGCUGCGCGGCUUCGACUUCCUGGACCGCGUCAAGGCCCUCGUCGAGCAGGAGUGUCCAGGCGUCGUCUCCUGCGCCGACAUCCUCGCGCUCGCCUCCCGCGACGCCGUCGGAAUCAUCGGCGGGCCGUUCUGGCGCGUGCCGACGGGGCGGCGCGACGGCAGGGUGUCGAUCAAGCAGGAGGCGCUGGACCAGCUCCCGGCGCCCACCAUGAACUUCACCGACCUCCUCGCCUCCUUCCGCGCCAAGGGCCUCGGCGUCGCAGACCUCGUCUGGCUCUCAGGGGCGCACACCAUCGGCAUCUCGCACUGCAACUUCUUCAGCGAGCGGCUAUACAACUUCACCGGCCACGGUGGGCCAGGCGACGCAGACCCAUCUCUGGACGCCGAGUAUGCGGCCAGCCUCCGCCGAACCAAUUGCACCACACCCACGGACAACACCACCAUCGUCGAGAUGGACCCCGGGAGCUUCCUCACCUUUGACCUCAGCUACUACCACGGCCUGCUCCAGCACCAGGGACUCUUCCAGUCCGACGCCGCGCUCAUCACUGACGCCGCGGCAAGGGCAGACGUCGAGAGCGUGGCCAAGGGCCCCCCAGAGGUGUUCUUCCAGGUGUUCGCACGGUCCAUGAUGAGGAUGGGCAUGAUAGAAGUCAAGACCGGUGGCGAUGGGGAGAUCAGGCGGCACUGUGCAGUAGUCAACAACUAG
rnacentral:rRNA from 1 species